ensembl:lncRNA
GUCAGUUCUACCCAGAGAGAGACGACACAAAUCUAAAACUCUCUCCAUCAUGUCAGCUCUCAGUCACUGGUUCUGAACUGAUCAGGUGGACAGGACGAAGGUCUCCUGGAACACUUCAUAUUACUUGUUACUACACUGUGGAUAACUCUGUUCGUACUCCUUCUCCUCACUCUCUCCCAGCUCCAGUCUCAGUGCGGUAUCAGAAACCGAGACUAAGCGUCAGUCAUGAUGGUCAGUUUGAUGAAUUCAGAUUUGUGUGUGAAAUAUCAGGGUCAGAGUCAGUAACUGCUGAUUUUAGCUGUAAUCUCUACACUGGAGAAAAUCCUCAGCU